rnacentral:sRNA from 1 species
UUACCGUAGCCUGGAACACACAAGAUGAUGGCGCUGAGGCAGUGGCCAUCGUGCCGUGUGAAAAGGCUGGGCUUGGGUCUCCCCCAGAGUCUAGCGCUCAUGCUUAGAAGCCAGCUCCCAUGAGGCAAAGUCUAGCCACAGUGUUGCCGGGUUUGGAGCACGCUAGAAGUUCCAAGAAAGGCAGGGAACUUUCAAGGAAUCGAUGCACUGUCUUCCAGCUUGUGCUGCUGAGAGGCCCUGGCGGCAUCCGGAGUCUUGACCUUUUAGGUUUCCUUGAUGUGGAGGUGUGCACCUCAGCGUGAGAGAAGCCGGGCAGGGAAAACUGCCCACCAUUCCUCAGAACAGACUGGCAGGAUGGAAUCAUGUCAGAACCACCCACUCCUUGCUUCUCUGUUUGAACGAGCAUCUUUUGACAGUCACCUAAUGAGCCCCCGUUGACACUCGACGGGGUCUUUUAACACAGACCAGGCUGCACCUGAACUGUUGGUUCUCCUGCCUCGUCCUUCUGAGCGCUGGGAAUCCAGGCGUGUGCCAGCACACAUAGAUCUUUCGUUUUUAAAGUCUUCUAAGAGAUGAGACAUUCCCCCUGAUUUACAUGUGAGAAUGCCAAAAUUUAGAGGAGUGAAAUUACUUUUAUAAAGACUAUUGUAUGUGUGACAGAGCUGAGAUGGAAACACAGGCUCCGUGGACCUAUAGCCUUUGGCAAAUGUGGAACUGAGACAUGUCUGUGGGACAAUGACCUGUGCCCCUUGGCAAGCAUGUGGUUAGAGUUAGUGGGAGUUAAGUUGGGACACGGAGGAAGCAUGGCUUGAUGGGGGCCAAAAGGACAUUUGGAAGUGACAAAGCAGAGUUUGACCAAGUAUGCAGGCAGUCAUGUGAUGGGUCAGGUUGUUAGAUAUAGUCUGUUAGGUGUGUGCGUGUGUGCG